rnacentral:rRNA from 1 species
CAGAAUUCGCCCUUACGGGAGGCAGCAGCAAGGAAUUUUCCCCAAUUUGCGCAAGCUUUAGUUAGCAACGCUGCGUGGAGGACGACGUCCUUCGUGUUUUAAACUCCUUUCGGGUGGGACGACCACGACGGUACCACCAUAAUCAUUCCCUUCUAACUCUUUUCCAUCAUCCUCUUUAAUACAUAUUUUUCAAUCUCCUCCCUUAUCCACCUUUCUUAAAUUUCUCUUAUUCUUCCCUCUUUUCCUUCUCGUAAAUCCCUUCCAACUUUCUAUUCUCUUCUACACUCUCAUACCCUAUUCUAUCAUAUUUCUUCUUAACCCCUUUCUUAUCUUCUAAACUCUCAUAUACCCCUAUUAACUCCAUCUUUUA